UGAGUUUGACAAGUCUUCCUCCAGGAGUAUCUGUAUUAUUUUUAUUUUUAUUUUUUAUUUUCAUUUUUGAGACAGAGUUUAGCUCUGUCAACCAGGCUGGAGUGCACUGGCACAAUCUCGGCUCACUGCAACCUCCGGCCCCUGGGUUCAAGUGAUUCUCCUGCCUCAGCCUCCCGAGUAGCUGGGAUUACAGGUGUGUGCUACCACGCCCGGCUAGUUUUUGUAUUUUUAGUGGAGAUGGGGUUUCACCAUGUUGGCCAGGCUGGUUUUGAACUCCUGACCUCAGGUGAUCCGCCUGCCUCAGCCUCCCAAAGUGCUGGGAUUACAGGCAUGAGCCACCGUGCCUGGCCCAGGAGUAUCUGUAUUUCUAACAAGCCCUAUUCAAAAGGAUAAAUCUAUAAUGAGGAGAUUCGGGUAUCAGGGACAGGGAAUGGAAACGGGACUUGUCAGAAACCUGCCUCCAGAAUAAAGAGAAGAAGGGGAAAUGUGAUUAGGAGAGCUGUGAAGUGGUGAUGACAGCAGCUGCUUAAUAUGGAAAAAGGAAUCCUAAUUAUUGCUUGGACAGGCAGGAAGUAAAAAGUCAAUCAGAGCCAAGGUGGAGGGCAAACACGCAUGUCAGGGCGGGCUGCCCCUGCUAAGAACCGCAUGCCUUCUUGAGGUGGAGGAGCCUCUGACUGAGAGGCAAGGAGAUGGUGAGCAAAGGAACUGGGCCAACCAGCCGCUCAGCCUGGGGGAAACUGGUUCUCCUGAGGAACUGGCAGGGCUGAAGCAGAAGAGCUGCAUUCGUAUUCCAGCCAGAAGAGCAGGGGCUUUGGGAGAGUGUUAGGCAAUGCAUCUGGCCUCAGGGGUCUCAGUUUUCUCAUCGGUAGUGACCCAGAUGUGUCCGACUUCUCCGGUCUAUGGGGUCUGUGAUUUUCAGGGCGACGAUACUCUGAGCCCCUCCCAUUCCCGCCAUGUGGCAAGUCCAGUCUUUUUCAGGUUUCCCUCCCAAGUAGUUCUAGGGAUCCCUAAGGAAUUCUUGCACAUCUCCCAAAAUCCGUGGUGGCAGCUCUGCCAGCAUCUCGCUCCCACUGACAGCUGUUCCUGGUCUCUGCCUGCCAUGUCUUCACUGUGGGCACUUUCAGGUCAAUUCCUUCCUCCUCAACCCCUUCCUUCCAAGCUGGGACACGGCCUAAUUCCCUUAAUUUGCAAAGUCUGGCAAAGACCAGGCUCUGGGGUUUAAACAAGCUUUACUUAGGGCUUAGCCAGUGUAAAGAAAAGUUGGCUGGCAGGUGCCCUGAUCCUGCCUCCACGGGCACCUCUCCAACCCUUCUCCCACUGGGUGGCUCUCACUUUAGGUUGGACCGAUACCAAGCGGCCACUUACACCUUUAGUGAAAGCGCCUUUGGCCCUAACCCUGUGACCCAUGGUCCAGAUCCCCAACCUCUGCUGAGCUGAGAGACAGAGAGAGAGAGGCCACAUUGCCUCCAAAAUCAUGUGCUUCUCAUCAAAUCCACUCUCUCCAGUCCAGAAGAGGAGUUUAGCUGCACUUUUACACAAAAAAAUCUGCUAAAUUAUUUUUCUCAGAACAGAAGAGCUGUCUUUCCACAACACGAAUCAGAGAAGUGCUGACAGCUUUGAUAUAGAAGUUUGUUCCCAUUUCUGGCCAAUGAGGUUGCAAAAAUAUUGGGGCUUGGCUUGGCUGGAGCCCCUUUUCAUGUAGAUCAUGGGGUCAAGGUCUGCCUUGCUGGGGUGGGGUGAGCAUUAAAUAGACAAUGGAUGCCAAGAGGCUGGUGUGUCUGGUAGGUGCUCAAUCCAUGCUGAGGCGUUUCCCCAUCUUGACUCGGUUACCUCAACUGUAAUAUUAAUGUAAGGAAGGGGGUAGGCCAUGCUGGGGACUUUGGAGGCCCCUCCCAACUCUCUUAGUACCAGAUACAGGGAGGAGGGAGUUUUCUGGGUGAUGACAAAGGGCUUGGGGGUGGGACCAGACCAAGCACUGUGCACGUGGGGUCUCCUGGAGGCUGGCUUCGUGGACCCUGAAAUGUGUUGAAGCUGGAUUCAGGUCCAGGCACUCUCCCUCCCUGCUGUGCUGUGUGCUUCUUGGGCAAAGCACAACCUCUCUGUGUUUCACUUUCAUCUACUGAUGACUGGGCAUAUUUGUCUCUUCCAAUCCUUCACUUCCUGGUUGACCUGAGAAUUGAAUGAGACAUGGAUGUGAAAAUCUUUCUUCAACUUAAAUGUCAUCUCCACCAAGGACGGGACCAGCUGUCUGAUUUAGGUUUGAGUUGCCAACACCUGAAGGUGAAGGAGAGCCAGGCCUGGGGUUGUGUGAACCCAGGGGUUGCAGGAUCUAACCCAUGUGUGGAGGGUUUGGAGAAGCCACCUGCAUCCAUACAUACCUACACAUGCGUGACGCUGUUCGUGUCAUUGCACCCCUGCUGGCCUCGCUGUUAGUAGAGUGACUGCCUAGCCCUGCACCUGAGACACAAUGGUGCUUACUAAGAGCUUGCAAAAUAAAUGGAUUUGUGUGUGAGAAGCUCUGGCUUAAAAAGGGAGAAAAUGAUCAAAGGGGUAGAGAAAAUCAAUAAGGAUGGAAAUAUCUCAGCAAGGAAGGCACAUCUCCAGGUAGAAAUAUGGUCUGCUGUUUGUUCAGCUGUUAGCAGUUGCUGAGAGCUUUCCAUGGGGGAUAUGGAGAUGGACAAGGCACUGUCCCUGCCCUUCAGGGGCUCACAGCUACAUCGAAGGGGAAGCAAAUGAUUCACAACCUCAGUAAAGGGCGGGCCAGGCAAAGUCCAGAGGACACAGAGGAUAAAGGUCAGUGGGCCUUUCAUGGUAGAUGGGCUCCAGGAGGGCUCCCAGGAGGAGGUGGCAUUUCGAUGUAGAGCAGAGAGGAGGGUGCUUAGGCACAACUUUUCACAGGACCUGAUGGAGUGGCACAGAGGUCAGGCAGGCAAGACCCUUCAG
rnacentral:lncRNA from 1 species